rnacentral:rRNA from 1 species
CAGCAGCCGCCGCGGUAAUACGAGGGGGGCAAGCGUUGUUCGGAAUUAUUGGGCGUAAAGGGUGCGUAGGCGGUUUCGUAAGUCUUAUGUGAAAUCUCUGGGCUCAACCCAGAGUCUGCAUGGGAAACUGCGAGGCUUGAGGAUGGGAGAGGUGAGUGGAAUUUCCGGUGUAGCGGUGAAAUGCGUAGAUAUCGGAAGGAACACCUGUGGCGAAAGCGGCUCACUGGACCAUUUCUGACGCUGAUGCACGAAAGCGUGGGGAGCAAACAGGAUUAGAUACCCGUGUAGUCCCUGUCUCUUAUAC